AUACGGAGGGUGCAAGCGUUACUCGGAAUCACUGGGCGUAAAGGACGCGUAGGCGGGUUGGUAAGCCAGGUGUGAAAUCCUACAGCUUAACUGUAGAACUGCACUUGAAACUACCAACCUAGAGUAUGGGAGGGGGAGAUGGAAUUAGUGGUGUAGGGGUAAAAUCCGUAGAUAUCCCUAGGAAUACCGAAAGCGAAGGCGAUCUCCUGGAACAUAACUGACGCUAAGGCGUGAAAGCGUGGGGAGCAAACAGGAUUAGAAACCCGAGUAGUCC
rnacentral:rRNA from 1 species